CAAGCAGUGUAAAGUGGCAUGCAGCUGGCUGCCGGUGAAAAUAGUGGUCGAUUUUUUUCUUUGUAAACUUAGAGUCGAGAACCCUUGAGCGGGUCGGGUGUCGAAAAAUUUGAUUGAAUAUAAUUGCGGAUGAUUCGAUUCGGCUCUGCAGCUCAUCGAUCGUUAACAAUGAUAAUCAAAUAUUUAUAUUCAUGAAUUUGGAACAAGUGUUCGGUAAUUGUGUAGAAAGUUAAAUUUUAAUGUGUAACGUUACAUAAACGAUCUUCUUAAGUUGGUUUUCGCAAUUCACUGUAGGAUUCAACAGGGGUGAAAACUGGAUUGGUGCAGCACACAUCUUCCGCUUUGCAGAAAAUUAUCACCUUGUGUUGUUGCAUAACAUUAUGGUAAUCAGAUUUUAGCAGGCUUGAGCGUCGAACUCGUCAACUGGUAAAAGUGCAGUAAACAGAUAUCUGGUAUUUCACCCAAUCACGUGCGAUUUAAUGACUGUUAUCUAAUAGCAAUCAACGGAGACAACAUCGGCAGAUAGUCCGAGCAGCCGGAUGAAAUUGGCAGUUGAUGAGACACUGCGGAUUGGUUGCAAAACCGGUUAGGAAAAACAUUUCAGUUCAUGCAGAAGAAGCCAACUAACGAUGACAACAAGGUCUUUAUCAAAAAAUCAAAAUUAUUGAUUGUCCUAUACAGUUGUUCAUGAAGACAUGCUGGAUGUCGGGUACAGUGUAAUUUGAUGUUUGCUUCGCAAAUUUACCAACAAAUCAAACGG